CCUCGGGGAUCUGCGUGGGCGAGAUGAGGUGCACGUGGCAGUCGACGACGCCCGCGGUCAUGAUCAAGCCGUUGCCCGCGAUGAUCUCCGUGGAGGGGCCGAUCACCAGGUCGGGAUGCACCCCGUCCAUCACGUCGGGGUUGCCGGCCUUGCCGAGAGCGACGAUCCGGCCGUCGCGGACGCCGACGUCGGCCUUGAUCACGCCCCAGUGGUCGAGCACGACGACGCCGGUGAUGACCAGGUCCGGGGCACCCUCGGCGCGGGUGGCGCGCGACUGGCCCAUCGACUCGCGGA
rnacentral:sRNA from 1 species